rnacentral:rRNA from 1 species
AGCUCCAAUAGCGUAUAUUUAAGUUGCUGCAGUUAAAAAGCUCGUAGUCGAACUUCGGGGGGCCCGGGCCGGUCCUUUGGUGCGUGGGGUUCACCCCCCCGCCCUCUGCGCACUGGCAUUCCGGCGCCCCCCUGUUGCUGGGGACGGCGCUCCUGGGCUUUGCUGUCCGGGGCCCGGAGUCAGCGAGGUUACUUUGAGUAAAUUAGAGUGUUCAAAGCAGGCAUCCGCUCUGAAUACAUUAGCAUGGAAUAACAUGAUAGGACUCUGGCUUAUCACGUUGGUCUGUAAGACCGGAGUAAUGAUUGAGAGGGACAGUCGGGGGCAUUCGUAUUUCAUUGUCAGAGGUGAAAUUCUUGGAUUUAUGAAAGACGAACUACUGCGAAAGCAUUUGCCAAGGAUGUUUUCA